rnacentral:lncRNA from 1 species
ACAGGCCCUCGGGGUGUGUGGGACCAUGUCCAGCCCUCUCCAGUGUAUCCACAACCCCGACCUUUGAUGAGAACUCAGCCGUCCAGCUGCAAAGGAAAAGCCAAGUGAGACGGGCUCUGGGACCAUGGUGACCAGGCUCUUCCCCUGCUCCCUGGCCCUUGCCAGCUGCCAAGCUGAAAAGAAGCCUCAGCUCCCACACCGCCCUCCUCGCCGCCCUUCCUCGGGAGUCACUUCCACUGGUGGACCACGGGCCCCCAGCCCUGUGUCGGCCUUGUCUGUCUCAGCUCAACCACGGUCUGACGCCAGAGCCCACUUCCAUCCUCUCUGGUGUGAGGCACAGCGAGGGCAGCAUCUGGAGGAGCUCUGCAGCCUCCACACCUACCACGACCUCCCAGGGCUGGGCUCAGGAAAAACCAGCCACUGCUUUACAGGACAGGGGGUUGAAGCUGAGCCCCGCCUCACACCCACCCCCAUGCACUCAAAGAUUGGCUUUUACAGCUACUUGCAAUUCAAAAUUCAGAAGAAUAAAAAAUGGGAACAUACAGAACUCUAAAAGAUAGACAUCAGAAAUUGUUAAGCUUUUUCAAAAAAUCAGCAACUCCCCAGCGUGGUCAAGGGUGGACACUGCAUGCUCUGGCAUGAUGGGAUGGCGACCGGGCAAGCUUUCUUGCUCGAGAUGUUCUGUUGCUUGAGAGCUGUCGCUUUGUUAAGAUAUAAAAAGGGGUUUCUUUUUGUCUUUCUGUAAGGUGGACUUCCAGCUUUUGAUUGAAAGUCCUAGGGUGAUUCUAUUUCUGCUGUGAUUUAUCUGCUGAAAGCCCAGCUGGGGUUGUGCAAGCUAGGGACCCAUUCCUGUGUAACAUAAUGCCUGCACCAAUGCUAAUAA